GCCCUGCUGCCCUGUAGUCCUGCUGGGGUGCCAUACCUGUUGCCCUGACGCCCUGCAAGAUCUGCAGCCCUGCCUCCCUGCUGCCCUGUAGCAUUGCUGCCCUGCUGCCCUGCUGCUCUUCUGCCCUGCAACCCUGCCUACCUACUGCCUUGCAUCCCUGCCGCACUGUGAGGCUUGUAGCAUUGCCGCCCUACACCCUGAACCCUGCAGCCCUGGGAGGCCUGUAGCCCUGCAGCCCUGCUGCUCUUCAGCCCUUCUGCCCUGCUGUCCUGCAUCCCUGAUGCCCUGUUGCCAUGCAGCCCUCCGAGGCCUGCCACCCUUCCACCCUGCUGCCCUACCUCCCUGCAGCCCUGCCGCCCUGGUAGGCCUACAGCCAUGCCGCCCUGCUGCCUGGCCACUCAGUGACCCUGAGAGGCCUGCAGCCCUGCCGCAAUGCUUCCCUGCUGCCUUGCCACCCUGCUACCCUGCAGCCCUUCCAGCAUGCUUCUCUGCAGCCCUACUGCCCUGCUGCCCUGCAGCCCUGCUGCCCUGCAAGGCCUGCAGCCCGGUCACCAGUGUCACCCACCCGGCCUUUAAGGUUUCUGAGCAGACACUGGACCCUGACCUGACUGGACGCUGCCUCCUCCGGCUCCCUCUCACUUACAGGAAUUAACACUGGGAUCACCUGACUCCCUCCAGGGUCCACAAAGCUCCAAUGCAUCAGAAUACAGAAUAGAAGACAUGGUUAUAUAAGAAGGAAGGAAGCAAGCAAGGAAGGGGUUUUAUUUCAUAAUACAAUCAGUGUGUAGAAUAUGAGAAACAAUAAAUUGAUAUCCAAGUUGGAGAAAGGAUGCGUC
rnacentral:lncRNA from 1 species